GGCCCGAAAGCUCUAGAAUGCACCCCUAUUCCUCCCCGGGGCCAUUCCCGCUCAACGAGUUUUAUGACCUAAAAAACCCCACAGGCUGGUCUGAAGGUCGGAGGCCUAAUUUUAACGCGUUUUCCUCCCUUUAAUUUGAAACGGGAACGCGAAUAACUAAAAUGUGGGCACAAUAUUUAACCUCUUGCUUUUUUAAAGCUUAAUAAUGGAUAGUAGGGGGCAGUAUCAAGGGAUAAUUUGGGUCCCCACAGUACCAAAGCAUUUAGAAACCUCUGCUUAAUUUAAGGAAUGAGAUAAAUUACUGCUUUUCUAGAUUUGGUAGCAUGGGCUGUUGUGCUGGAGAGAACGAGAGCUACGAAGAGACUAGAAUGCCUCUGACUUUUUCAUAGGACAGUUGGCCGAGGAAGACACUUAAAGAUGAAGUGCUUAAUUCAAGGUCACAGAAUGUCGGGGAUGGACCUCCAGAUUUCCUUACUGACCUGCAUUAUCUUGUGGAUACCUGAGUGAAUUCCACACCACCCAUUUUAUAGAUGAAGCCACUGAGACGUGGAGCAACUGACUGAGUAGUCACUGCCCCACCCCUGCCUGGAGCCUCACACAUGACUUCUCUUAGUGACCACAGGAAAACAAGCUCAGGGCUCCCACUGAUUGUACAUUAUGGUGAGACGUGGUCUUGUAACACAGUGGUUAAGAAUGUGACUUUGGAGCCAGCCUGC
rnacentral:antisense_RNA from 1 species